GAAAACAGAUACAGCAGUUACUGAGGUGUAUCAGGACUGCAUUUUCUACCCAAUGUCUUGACAGAGAACCCACCAGAAGUUACUUGGGGGCAACCAUUGAACUGCUUGCUGCUGAGUGACCUUUUCAUACAACUCACAGGGACGUGACACUGGGAGAACAGACAAGAAAACAGCUGCAUGGUUGCAUGCAAGAAACAAAGAUCAUCAUUUAAAUGCUACUCUGUGUACCAGCCCUUCAGAUGGAGGCUGAUGGGCUGAGAAGAUGAAGCAAAUUGCCCUGGAUGAGAGAGUAUGCAGGAGUCACAGCCGUUCCCAAACAGUUCAGAAGUGCUGAGAGAUGUCCUGAGGCCAAAGCUGGCCCACUCGCAACCACACUGAAUAAUUGAGGGCAGAGCCCACGAGGAAACAAACCGUACCCUGAAAAAUAAGCGUGGGUUUUGGCAGGUGAUGGUGUUAUUCUGCAGAACCCUCGUGUAGAUAGGCGUAGUGGGGCUGCACGAGUUCUCCCACA